rnacentral:rRNA from 1 species
UACGUAGGGGGCUAGCGUUGCUCGGAAUCACUGGGCGUAAAGCGCACGUAGGCGGCUUGUUAAGUCAGGGGUGAAAUCCUGGAGCUCAACUCCAGAACUGCCUUUGAUACUGGCGAGCUUGAGUCCGGGAGAGGUGAGUGGAACUGCGAGUGUAGAGGUGAAAUUCGUAGAUAUUCGCAAGAACACCAGUGGCGAAGGCGGCUCACUGGCCCGGUACUGACGCUGAGGCACGAAAGCGUGGGGAGCAAACAGG